rnacentral:lncRNA from 1 species
UUUUUUUUUUUUUUGCCACUCUUGCUUGGUGUUAAAUACCUUGGGAGGCUGUUACAAGUCUCAUGGUAGAGUCGGUUUUCUAAGAGCCUGGGGCUGUGAAGAGACAGGCUGGGAACAGCCGGGAGUGAGGUUCUCCUCUCCAUCAGACCCCUGCUGGGUGCUGGGCCUGGUGCCCCGCUGAGGACCCAGGUGCAAACAAACACGUGGGCCUGCCCUCAAGGAGUGGGCCGCAUGGUGGGCAGGUCACAAGGGUGCACGGGGCUCUCAGCCCCUCUGGAGGCAGCAGCUGUGCGGAGGGAGCGGGGGCUUUUGUUUCCCCAGUGAUGACAGAGUCUGGGGUACAGGUGCAGUGGAGUCUCCCCAGCGCAGCUGCCACCAGUCCUCAGCUUGGUGCCUGUGCCCUUGCCCCCAAACGGCUGCUCUCCCUGGGACCCUGCCCACUUGCCAGGCUGGGACGAGAGAAGGCAGAGGGCUAGGCUGCUGCAUCAGUCCCUUCUGAGCCUGAAGACUGCUUUCUGCUGUUGUCCCCUGGGGCCAGCACUUCCUGGCUGCCUCGAACAAAACAGGUCCUGGAGGUAGGGACAAACAGGGACCCGGCAGCAGUGUUGACCUGCUCACGGGAUUUGAGCGGGGAGAGGGGAGCUGUUAGGAGCCAGGGCAAUGAUGGCUGGGGGGCAGAGUGGAAGCGUUAACUGCUCUCUCUGGGUGGAGCUGAGAAGGGUCAGGCUGGUCUCCUAGAGAAGCUGACCUGGGCGCCAGAGUGCAGGGCAUGGGCAAGCAGGGCAUAGGGCGUGACACUCACUGCAGACCGGGAGACCCCGGCACAACCACGCAGAAGCCCAUAGGCUUCCCCGGUCAGAGCCAGCAUUUUGGGGGUCGGCUUUAGUAGGCGCUGCAUGGAGGCUCCUUCUGAAGACCCGGCAGGCACUCAGGAGGGUGCAGGGCAGUGGAACAGACGGAUGCCCUGUGGGGGCUGCAGCAGCUCCUUCCGUCGGCUCUUCCUCUGGGGGUCUCUUCAGCGUUCUUCCUACCCUCGCCUGUCGGGCUCCCGGCUCUUCCAGGAGAAGGUCCUUGUGGAGGCGGCCGUCUCUCCCGCUUCUCCGGGUGCUAACCCACCUGGUCCGCAGCCAGGGGCACCCGUCCACCCGCUGUGUACGUGGCAAGCAGAGUCUGAGGGCGGUCGUCCUGGAGAAGGGGUCGUUCGCACUCCGCCCCCGCUGAGGGUGGGGCACGGCCCGACCACUGGGCCCUCGGGCGGACGCCCCUCGGUGCCAAAGCUGUGGAGUGCGGGGCUGACCCGGCCUACGCGCCUGCGGGCGCGGAGCACCGCUUGGGGUCCGCUGGGCACCGCCUCUUCUGGUAGCGCUCGGCCGCCCUCGGGCCCCGUGUCCGGGCCGCUAGCGCCCAGGCCUCCCGCGUCCUUGCUCCGGCCGCCCGGGCCCCGCACGGGCAGUGCGCCGCCCCGGCUCUGCCUCCCGGGCCGUGAGAUCCCGUCCGCCCCGCGCACUCAGCCUUCACCUUCCAAGUCGCCCC